AAGUCAUAACAAGGUUUCUGUAGGUGAACCUGCAGAAGGAUCAUUAUUGAAUUGUUAAAAUGGGGAGAGUUUCGACUCUCCUCUAUCAUUCUUUAUUCCUAACACCUGUGAAUCGUUGCUGAUGUUUGCUGCAGUUUGGCAACAUUUUUUAUAACACACUAUAAAUAGUUUAAGAACGUAAAAUAUAAUAAUAAAAUUACAA
rnacentral:misc_RNA from 1 species